GAUGAACGCUGGCGGCGUGCUUAACACAUGCAAGUCGAACGAUGAAGCCCAGCUUGCUGGGUGGAUUAGUGGCGAACGGGUGAGUAACACGUGAGUAACCUGCCCUUAACUCUGGGAUAAGCCUGGGAAACUGGGUCUAAUACCGGAUAGGAGCGUCCACCGCAUGGUGGGUGUUGGAAAGAUUUAUCGGUUUUGGAUGGACUCGCGGCCUAUCAGCUUGUUGGUGAGGUAAUGGCUCACCAAGGCGACGACGGGUAGCCGGCCUGAGAGGGCGACCGGCCACACUGGGACUGAGACACGGCCCAGACUCCUACGGGAGGCAGCAGUGGGGAAUAUUGCACAAUGGGCGCAAGCCUGAUGCAGCGACGCCGCGUGAGGGAUGACGGCCUUCGGGUUGUAAACCUCUUUCAGUAGGGAAGAAGCGAAAGUGACGGUACCUGCAGAAGAAGCACCGGCUAACUACGUG
rnacentral:rRNA from 1 species